UUUCAUGCCAGAACAACUGGAAACAUUAGCAAAUAAGAUCAUUUAAUGAAAGGCUGGGGAAACUAUCAUUUAUAGUAUUUAUAGAAACCUAAACUACAGUUUAUAAGAAAUUAAAUAACUUGGGGGAUUCAAAAAAAUACCAAUAGCUGAACCAUGAAAAUAAAACUGACCCUUAAAAAUAGAAAAAGAUGUCAGAAAAAUAAAUUAGCCUCAAUGCUGUUUUUUUUGAUGUCAGAUUUGUUAUUAACAGGAAACCAUUUGCUUGUAAAGGAGCAAAAUUAUAACUCUUUAUCCCUGGAACCCACCUUCAGCCACCUCAGUGCAAUUUCUAGCAGCACUAUUUGGAUGCGAAAAGAACGCUGUCAUCAGUCAAUGUUCCUGAAAGCCUCACAGUCAGACCUUCCUUCAAAUACAUGUUCUUAAGGUCUUACUU
rnacentral:lncRNA from 1 species